rnacentral:sRNA from 1 species
GGCAAAAGCUCAAAUUUGAAAUCUGGCGCCUUCGGUGUCCGAGUUGUAAUUUGAAGAUUGUAACCUUGGGGUUGGCUCUUGUCUAUGUUUCUUGGAACAGGACGUCACAGAGGGUGAGAAUCCCGUGCGAUGAGAUGCCCAAUUCUAUGUAAGGUGCUUUCGAAGAGUCGAGUUGUUUGGGAAUGCAGCUCUAAGUGGGUGGUAAAUUCCAUCUAAAGCUAAAUAUUGGCGAGAGACCGAUAGCGAACAAGUACAGUGAUGGAAAGAUGAAAAGAACUUUGAAAAGAGAGUGAAAAAGUACGUGAAAUUGUUGAAAGGGAAGGGUUUGAGAUCAGACUCGAUAUUUUGUGAGCCUUGCCUUCGUGGCGGGGUGACCCGCAGCUUAUCGGGCCAGCAUCGGUUUGGGCGGUAGGAUAAUGGCGUAGGAAUGUGACUUUACUUCGGUGAAGUGUUAUAGCCUGCGUUGAUGCUGCCUGCCUAGACCGAGGACUGCGAUUUUAUCAAGGAUGCUGGCAUAAUGAUCCCAAACCGCCCGUCUUGAAA